CCUGUAAUCCCAGCACUUUGGGAGGCCGAGGCGGGUGGAUCACCUGAGAUUGGGAGUUCAAGACUAGCCUGACCAGCAGGGUUAAACCCGUCUCUACUAAAAUACAAAAUUAGCAGGGCAUGGUGACACAUGCCUGUAAUCCCAGCUACUUGGGAGGCUGAGGCAGGAGAAUCACUUGAACCCAGGAGGUAGAGGUUGUGGUGAGCUGAGAUAAUGCCAUUGCACUCCAGCCUGGGCAACAAGAGCAGAACUCCAUCUCAAAUAAAAAAGAAAAAAAAAAGCAACACAAAAUAAACUGGUCAAAAGAGACUCGCUAUCCUCUCUCUCACAGGAGGCUGAAGACACUCACACUUCCUCCUUUUAAGUCUUCAGCUUUUCUUCGUUAUCACACCCAAGGCUUUCAUAGCUGGUCAGAACCUCAGCGCUGGAAGAGGCCUGCGAGAACACUGCACUAAAUUUUUUCAUCUGAAGACGGACCCAGGCCGUCAUCUCUUGACCCCCUCAUCCAGUGCUGUUCUCCUGCACCUCCCUGAUGAGUUUCAACACUCCAUUCCCUCCGAGAAGCCAAGCCGGAGCACCUCUAAAUUGAACGAGCCAGAAACAGAGAACUCUAUGCAAACAACACCACUGCUCGGAGGUGAUAAGGAAGCCUAUCAUGCUGGGAACCACACCUAACAAGAGAGUGACUGCGUCCCAGACUUCAACUGCCUUAACAACAGGCAGCAUCAAAGGUGUGACAGGAGGACUAAGGACAACUGUGUUCAAACUGAAGUCAUGAUGUUGGAAUCUUGAGGGCUGAAAGUUCCAGAGACGAUAUGGAAUUAUAUUUGACCUGAAAUGUUCCCUUCCUGGAGCUCCGGAUGCUGCAAUUAAGAGGUUCCAUGUGACACUGCCUUCCGGCUUUUCCUUAGGUUUUGUCGUGGAGUCCCUUUUUUUUUCUUCCUUCUUUCUCCAGUGUACACUUGAAGGUUUGCAACGCUUCACGCUUGAAGACUUGGGAAAAACUGAGUCAAUUCAAUCUGACCGACUUCAUAGUCACCGGCUUCACAUGCAUUUGCUUGCUGUGAAAAGAAAAGCAUGUGAAGAAAAAUAUAUUGCCACUGAAGGAAUGGAUCUGUCUCAAAUAUAAUUGCUCAUUUUUAUCUGUCCCUUGUGUACAUACUCCUUCCAGCCCUAGCUCUUCUGAAUGGACGCACCCUCCAGGCCACUUCCGCAUCCGGCCACGCUACCAACGUCUUUGCCAGUGCCAACGUCCUGGGUCUCUUCUUGAUUCUCUGAGAUCCCUGGGGCUGCUCACAAGGCUUGAGGCCCUGGGCUCUUAGAAGCUGAAAGAAAACCUGAAAGAAAUUCACUGGGCUUUGCAAUCAUUGUGCUAAAACACCUCCAGCAAGGAGCUACAUCAUCCCAUUUCCGGGCACGUGGGUGCUGGAGCUACUGGGCUUCUAGCCCCGGGUUGACGGUCUUAGAGAACUUGAGAUCAGAUUCUGGUCCAGAGGGCAGAGCAGAUUGAGUUUCUUGAGAAGAAACCAGGAAGCAAUGACCGGCCUUGGAUUUUCUGGAGCAAUCCUGCUUUUAAGCAUUUUUAUUUUGUGGUCUACAAAAAUCCUUUUGUCCAUAUUAGAGCAUGUGUUCUAACUGCAGCAGGUGGACAUGGGGAAGUGGAGAGGUUGGGAAGAUGUAGGUGUAGCAAAUGACAGAAACUGAUGCGGGAACUGUUCUGGGGAGGCCACUGUCACUAUCAGGAUAUUGUGUUAUUAAGAGGGCCACUUAUAGGAACAGCGGUUGAGGCUGGUUUAUCUGUUUAGCUCAUUCUCAGUCUUGUCAGCUAAACAGACAUUGGGGCUCUGGUGUGUUGGUGGUGGAAGAAGAAUGGGAGGAUCUGGAGCUGGGAAUACACACAAGGGUCUAGCGCUUUGGCAGCAUUGCGAUGGGUGUGAUGCACAGCCAGAGGCUUUCAGGUGGCAUUGGGGAGCUGGGAUUGGAGGUGAAGGGGGAAAUGUAGAUUCAAUAAAAGGAAGGAGUAGGAGAAACUUUGCCUAUUCCACUGUUUUGUUUAGGCCAACCUUAAUCUCUGGGAUUUAACUUCUGAAUAAUGAAAUAAAAAAGAACAAACAGGCUGGGCACAGUGGCUCAUGCCUAUAAUUCCAGCACUUUGGGAGGCUAAGGUGGGUGAAUCAUGAGGUCAGGAGUUAGAGACCAGCCUGGCCAAGAUGGUAAAACCCCAUCUCUACUAAAAAUACAAAAAUUAGCUGGGCACAGUGGCAGUCGCCUAUAAUCCCAGCUACUCGGGAGGCUGAGGCAGGAGAAUUGCUUGAACCCAGGAGGUGGACGUUGUAGUGAGCCGAGAUCACUCUAGCCUGGGUGACAGACAGAGCAAGACUCUGUCUCAAAAAAAAAAAAAAAAAAUCCCAAAAAAGAACAAAUAAUAUGUGAAGAUAUUGAUGCCUGAUGUGGCACAUUGCUAGGGUCUUGGGUCAGUUCCUAGCAGUUUUGCUAGAAUGCAUAUUAGGAGGUAACAGGAUAACUACUGUGACUCCAGAGGGUUUUGACAAUCUGGUCCUGGUCUCUCACAAUUCAUCUUUGUCUACUUUCCCAUCAACUCAUGCUCUUGUCUUUCUGAAUUCUUCCCCAUUCCCAGACACUCUAAAUUUAUACCACUGUGCUGGCAGUAUUCUCACUGCUUAGUAGAAGACCAUCUCUCCUUAUUCUUUGGAAAAUUCUUUUUUUUGAGAUGGUGUUUAGCUCUGUCACCCAGGCUGGAGUGCAAUGGCAUGAUCUCAGCUCACUGUAACCUCUGCCUCUUGGGUUCAGGUAAUUCUCCUGUCUCAGCCUCCUGAGCAGCUGGGAUUACAGGUGCACACCACCACAUCCAGCUAAUUUUUCUAUUUUUAGUAGAGACAGGAUUUCACCAUGUUGGCCAGGCUGGACUCAAACUCCUGACCUUGUGAUCUGCCUGCCUCGGCCUCCCAAAGUGCUGGGAUUACAAGUGUGAUCAACUGCGCCUGGCCGGAAAAUUUUUAUUAUCUAUUCUUCACAUUCCCUGUCAAGUUUCUUUUAUAUGAUUUUUCUAGCUCUCUAGAUAAAAUUAAUCUUAUCCUUCUCUGAACUUUUGUUUUUAUUCAAUUAUAACAUAUGUAGAAUUAUAAUUAUUUCAUCAUCGGUGUCUCUCUGCUAGAUCAUGUAUGCUUUAAGGGAGGAGACCAGAGUUAAACUGAGUUGCCUUGCCUUACAUUAAACUAAGUGAAUGUCUGAGAUACGCAAUAGUCUCUCAGUAUUUGGUAGGUGUUUAUAAAAGGGAAAGAGAAUGGGAGUAGAGAAGCUCUGUCUUUGGUAUUGAUGUUGCAUAUUGGUAUAAACAUGUUCGUUUAAACAUACACAUACACAGAAAUAUAGAAGUAUUAAUACUAUGUGCCAUGUGCUAUGCUAAGAAAUUUUACAUGGAUGUUUGUACUUAAUCCCCACAAGGGUCUCUAAGGCCGAUAAUGGCAUUGUCUCUGUUUUAGAAGUGGGGAAAUAGAAAUAAGUAAGAGUUUAAGUGAUUUAUCCAAGGUCACAUAGCAUCAAUUCAAAUUUAUACAGUCUAACUCCAGAGCCCAAAACUUCAUCUGUUAUUACUAAUUACCUCCCUUUAUCGCAUCUCAGUGGAAACUGUCUUUCGUUCUUUUAGCUGCUUGACUCCCACUUUAGGAGCUAAAAACUCCAUUUUUUUUAGCCUCCCUUGCAGCUAGGAUGCAGGUAUGUGACCCAGGCUUGACUAAAUGGAUGCAUCUGCUAUUGCCUUUGAACUGGGAGCUGGUGACACAUGGAGACAGAGACGCAGCAAAUCCAGAGUCACUGAGGUGGAGCAGCACCAUUCGAAGUGCUGUGUCUGUGGCUGCCCGUCAACCUGUGAUAGCUACUGUUCAGUGUGAAGGGAGCGAUGGUGGUUUCCACAUUAGAUGGGUUAGGUGUUGUGAUUUUGGUUGUCCACCUGCUGCCUAGCUUCCCUUGUCUGGUCUCCUUUUCUAUGCCUGGUUUCAACACUGUUGAAAUGCCUUAAGCUGUUCAACAACACAGCAACAGAUGCUUUUCUCUGCUUAAAUCAGCUAGAGUUAUUUUCUGUUGCUUGCAGUAAACAACUCUGACUGGUAUAAUAUCCAAACUCAUUAUCUUGAAUAUGAGACCCUCAUAUACAUCAUUCUUACCUGGAAGAAAAAACACAUAAGUAACCAGAAUUUUUUGACUGUUCAAUAGAGCAGAGGGUGAAUGUGACAGACUGUGUAUCACUAGGAACAAUUUCUAGUUCAUCCAUCUGACUACUUAGGAUCAUAUGGCAAUUUGCAUGGAUGGUUAGGGGACUUUGUAGUACAUUCUUACAAAACUCAUGUCCCAAAAUGGACUUUUACCUUCCAGUGUAAUCUGACUCUGGGCUUUACAAAUUUAGUAAUAAAUUUUUCCUUUGAAUGUUCGGAAAGAAAAAUACUAAAUAUCUUUCUGGCUCACUAUAGGCAAAAUGGCUUCCUGAAAUUGUAGUAGUUAAAAAACUAAGAUCACAGUGGAAGCUGAAUUGCUGAAUUAUUUAACAUAAGCUGACUCAUUAGAGCCUUAGCUUCUGAGAUGGAAGAAAAUAUUCUAGUUUACAUAAAGGUUACUGAUAAAUUCCAAGAUAAAAUUCACUUUGAAGGGAGUAAAGUGUUGCUACAGGUAACUAAUUCCUGUGGCAUAAUGCAGUGAAGGAGUUGAGUUUACAGUUUGUCAGGGGGUUAUGAUUAUAAGGCAUUUCUGAAUUGCAGGAGAGGCUACUGCUUCAGAUGGUCAAGUGGUCUACUGAGAUGUCAGAUACUAGACAGGAAUAAACUUUACAGAGGCCAAGCGUUUGACCUUAGUAAGUCUAGACAUGCUAAUGUGAUUAUCAUCACUCUAAUUAGAUUAUAAAGUAAACACAGGCUUUACAAAGCAAAGAAUCCUAAGGGAUUGUUAUUUAGAAGAUGAAGAAAAGCUGCUUCCUAUCUCUCUUGAGGAUGCAACAGGAAGAAAUGGGGUGGUUGCAGCAUAGGGAUGUUGGUUUGAUCAGUGGUUCUCAACUGGGGACGAUUUGGCAAUAUGUGGAGACAUUUUUGGUUAUUAUACCCUGCGGGGGUGAGGAGGCAUCUGGCAUGGCUACUGGCAUUGAGUGGGGAGAUGCCAGGGUUGCUGCUAAACAUCCUGCCAUAUGCAGGACACCCCUGUAACUAAAGAGUUAUCUGGCCCCAAAUGUCAAAAGUGCUGAGGUUGGGAAACUCUGGGCUAGAAGUAAGAAAGAACUUGUUGAAUCUGAAGCGAUGUUAAUGUCGGAAUAAGUUUAUAGGCUCAGGACUACUAGGGACCACGUGAAGCAACUGCUUCAGGAAACAAAAUUUGAAAGAGUGCCCCAUACCUCAGUAAUCAAGAAAAAUAAUGCUUAAAAACUGAAAUUCAAUGCAAAAAAUAUCCAUGGUGGACAAUCUAUCAAAAUUUUAAAUAAAGACAGGAUUCAACAGAGAUAGGAUUAUGAUAGGGAAGUCAAAAUAUUGUUUAUCUUGAUUACCGAAGCUGUGGGCACCCCCUACCUUAAAUUCUGUGUUCAAGGUAAGUGCCUCAGCUGCUUCACACUGGCCCUGGCCUGUUGGAUCAUCAAGGGUAGAACAUCAUUUUAGCUAAAGGGUAAUUUGGCUUGAUUAUUACAAGCGAGGGGUGGUCAAGCCUGGUGAAAGUAAAUGAGAAGAUUCAGCUCUAGGAUUUUAGACUUUAGUGAAUAUGUUAAGUAAGGGAGCAACCUCCAUGUUGAGCUGCACAGAAAUUCCCUAAUAUAGGUUUUUAAUCUCUGUGAUUUAUAGCCUGGCUUGGAUUAUCCACGAUCAUCUUCAUUAUGAGUGGUAAUGUAUGGCUGACAUCCCAAAGAAACAUGUGGCAUGAACUGUGGUCUUUAUCAACAUGUUUUUGUUGUAAUUCAGCCUUCCAGAAAAAUAACCAUUGUAUGACUCUUCCAUUUUACUUACAAGUAAACCAUUACUUCUCUUCCUCUCCUCUUCACGAUCCCACUUCACCUCAAAACCAACUUAGCAUUCUUUCCUAGGCCUGAUUAAUAUUGACAUUAUUUUAUAUUAUUUGCAUCCUUUCCCCCUGCCAAAAUGCCUUAGAUGGAUUUUUAAAGGGGAUGAUUUUAAAUAUUUUUCCUUCUAAUAGGCUUGGGGAAAUUGUCUAUAUCUAAGUUUUUAGUUUAUGUAUGUGGGAUAUAGAGUACUUACAACAUGAUGCUGACGCCCUCAGAAAUGCCAGAUAAAAGUUUCAAAGAUAAUUUACUAUUCUGGGCAAGGCAACAUAGACAGUUAUAAAAAUUAUAGUAAUAUUACUAAUUAGGAGAAACGUAGCCUUGGAUCCAUACCAGAACAGUCUAACCAUUAUAGAUUGCCUUCCAUUAAUUUCCAUCUAUGAGUGUCUAGCCUAUUAGAGUGCCUGCAUUCAGCAAACGUGGUUGUUUGUGAAGUAACUAGAUAUGGGACCUACCACUUAACCACAUCUUAUCACUAAAUCUAACUGCCAUAUGUACAAUUGCUUUUGAUCUAUGCUAACCAUCUUUAUCUCAAUGCAAAUCUCAGCUUCCUAUCUGUUAUUUUUAAAAACACUUUCAUUAAAAAAUAGCAAAAAGUUGGGUUGAAUUAUAGGGUUUGAGUUUAGUAUUAUUAAAAAUUCUGUUAGAAACAAAGCAACAUCACGGGCUGCUUCUUUCAAACCACAUAGUCAUUGCUGUUUUUAUGAGCGAGUUUGUGCUUAUUUCUUAAGAAAAAAGAGGAAGGAAAAAAGUGUUAGAUGGGUAGAUAAAGAAUAACUCUAAUUUAAUUUAUAUUACCAAAGCUAGACAUAUCCAAAUGUUUUUCUUCUUUUUUUUUCUCUCUCUCUCCUUUUGGUACAUAGGUGAAUGGGAGUCUGCCUAAUGCUAAGCAAAAGGUACAUUUGAUUGUUUAAGAUUUAGGACUUUGCUGAGCUGCUUGGAUGUACAAGGCCAUAAUUACCUUGUGGCAUUAAAUUCAAAUCCUCCAAGAGAGGCCAGUGUUGAGUAUGAAGUGGAAAGAGUGUUGGCGUGCGGUAGAAAUCCUGCCCCUUCUUUGGGUUAUGAAUUUUGACCAAGGACAGGUCACAGAAUAUAGAUUCCUAGGUUUUCCUAUUUACAAAAUGAUGAUAAAAAUGCUUAGACGUUCCUUUGCAAUAAACUGUCCCUAUGAAUAUUAGGUUUGUGGGCUACAUUUUGUUCUAUGGCAGAAAAAUUAUGUCCCUUGGAGAAUUUUAGUCAGAUCUUCAGAAAGAAGGGAUGGAAAAUUGGAACUAAAUGGGGAGUGUGUUCUCUUUUCUAUAUUCAUGUUCUCUAAACAAAUGUUAUAACACCUAUUUUAUUUAAUCUUACAAAUAUAUACCAAACAAAUGAAGAAGUCAGUGAAUAAGUCAAAAGAGCAUUGCAAAUAUUAAGAAUCAUUUCAUAAAACUUUGUUCUUAUGCAUGCAUCAAGUGUAGGCCACAUGUAUAUGUUACUGUGGUUUGUGCUAGUCACUGCUAAUAAGAGAGUGUCAUAUAACAAUUUGAAUGGAAACACAUAAUUACUUAAAUAAGCUAUUUAUCAUGGAAGGCAUAAAUGUAGUGCUUAAAUAUUUUCUUUUUAUAAUUCAACUCCCUGCAUUGCAAUAUAACUUCAGCUAUUUAAAAACA